CACGUAGGGGGCGAGCGUUAUCCGGAUUCAUUGGGCGUAAAGCGCGCGUAGGCGGCUGCUUAAGCGGGACCUCUAAUCCCGGGGCUCAACCCCGGGCCGGGUUCCGAACUGGGUGGCUUGGGUUCGGUAGAGGAGAUUGGAAUUCCCGGUGUAGCGGUGGAAUGCGCAGAUAUCGGGAAGAACACCGACAGCGAAGGCAGAUCUCUGGGCCGCAACCGACGCUGAGGCGCGAAAGCUGGGGGAGCGAACA
rnacentral:rRNA from 1 species